UUAACACAAUAAAUUGCCAUUUGAGUCAUUUUUGCCAAACGGUGACAAUAUUUAAUAUUGUCUAGAUGUGGUUGAAAUGUAUCGGUGUGCUGACUCAUUAGAAGUAGUGGCACUAUAAGAUUAACGUCUGUGAAAUAGUUUGUGCUCAAAUUUGCACUUCACUAUAUAUAACUUAAAACCAACAGUUUGGCAAACUGUUACAUUCACCGGUUUUUGUUUUAGCAAUAUUAAAGACACACGCUUUAAAAAUUUAACUCACUCAAAUUGAAAAAUAGGAAAAAUAUGAUCAAAAGUUUCGUUUUUCGUUUUUCACGAAAUCGAAUUGGAUAUUGGAAAAGUGAUAAUGGAACGUACUUUGUCUUUUAAUUAUGAGUAUAAAAAUGUUUUACUAUCAUACGGUUAGAACACGGAUUAGACUAAAAUUAAUAUUUAUUUAUUAAUUUUUUUAUCGAAGUUUGAAACAGUGUCAAAGUCAUUAGUAUGUUUUUUAGCGUGCAUGCAAGUUUGUCGGUCAAACCCAUCAAAACAUUCAGAGCGAAAAAAGAAAAAAAAAUCACUGCAACAGAAAUCAAACGCAAAUCUAUGUACUGAUGCUAGUUUUAAAUGAAAUUCGGCCGCGGUGGAACAGCAGCGCUAUUAUGGUGAGUAAUAAUAAAUAUCAAUCCGUAACGCAUUACUAAACCAAGCUUUUAUUUCGACAGAUUUCGUAUGUGAAGAUGAUCAUCGGCUUGGUGGCAGCUGCAAAAACAGCCGAACUCACCGCUGCUGGUUACUCUUGGCAAUGAAUGAACCAGCUGCAAGGAGAACCCAUUGUCCGGAUCACCUAUACGUGGACAUCAAACCAAAAAGUCUGAUUCACCAGCAUCAAGCGUAGGCCAUCCUGAACAACAGCCUGGAUCCAAGAAGCAAGCGCUGAAAGAAAGCCAUCUCUGUGAGGUUUAUUCAGCUACGUAAUUGCUGCAUUCAUGGACUUUAAUCAGACUAUGAAAUGAAAGUGACUGGAUCACCGAUGAUUAAUCGCACCACCUCAACGGAGCACGAGCUUCAAAAGCAUUGUUCAAGGCAAAAUUGUGCCACGAUUCUAUUUUUUUAUUUUAAAUAUCGAAUAAGGCAACCUUAAGCUUUAAUAAACAUUCAAAAUAUUUUGUCUUCAA